rnacentral:lncRNA from 1 species
CCACUAAUACAAGACUAAGAUUUGUUUGAAUUACACACAAAAGAUAGCUGACAUAUCAGCUAUUACAUAAACUUAAAUCAUAAACUAAUCCUACUAAAUUUGUGAACAAAUUACAAAUGAACUAGCCAAAGUUACAUAGGAACAAAAUGAUCAAAACAUAUUGUUGUAUUCGGUUCAGCUAUAUUUUUGCACUUCAAACAGUCUUGCUACUGGUGUUGUGCUGAACUACUGCUGGUCUCCUGUUGCAAUGCAGGCCAAAGCUUAACAAUCUACCUUGUUCUAAGUUAUUCGGACUCUUCAUUUUCAUUAGAAUACAUGCAUCCAACACAUAUUCAAACAUGAGUACAAAAUUGCAUGAUUCUCUAAAUAUAUGAAAAAACAUAGAAAAUGUAUUCAACAUUCAAGCACUAUUCCGAGUAACAUAGACUAUAAUAAUGAAUAGUCUUAUAUCCCUUUAUUGCAAUCUUUUAGCCAAAGAGUUAAAGCUUCGUUCUUUUCUCAAGUAGGACUUAGUCUUUAUAUAUAAUAAUGAAUAGUCAAAAUAUGCAGAAAACACUUAACAAACAUGCCAUCAAAUAAGUGAACUAAAAACAGGUUCAUCUGCAAGGUCAUCCAUAUAUAGCAGCACAUACCAGAAAUUUAGUGAGCUGUCAAGCUGAAUAUUGUCUUCACCUCCAUAGAACUAUUUGAUUGCAGCACGGCUAGUCAACAACAAGGAUAAAAUGCAACUAGUUGGGUUCUGAUGAGGACUAGUUGCAACCUGUAGGACACACUUAAAGUGCUCUUCACAAGGGUUUGUCUUAGAAGAUCCAUACCUUAUUAAAAUCAACAUGCUUGGUGAAGGUCACCCAUGUUACAUGUUUCCUGUCAUUUUCUGAUAGAUUAUAUGUCUCUAAACUAGGCACUGACAUAAAUGGUGAAGUGGUACAAUUCUCCUAUUGUAAAGAAGAAUUUUACUGUCCCAGAUUUUUCAUUCGACCAGUCCUUGGUCGGUUUCUAUUGCCAUAAGGGAUAGGCAAACUAAUUUUUCAAAGCCCCUCCCGUGGAAUUCUUGAUAAUGAGUUACAAGACAGCACCAUGUGAUCCUCCCCUAAUGAAGCCAUAUAUUUCUUAUUAGUUAUCAGACCCCAGAAAUUUCCCUUUCACCGCUCAUUGAACAUCCCCACUCAACACAGGAACAUGAUUUUUCUGUCUACCCCUUUCAUCUAUAUAUACAAAGAAGAAUAUGUUCAUUGGCAACACCUAUCUUCACAUUCUCAAAAUACUACAGUUCUCUGAGAUCUUCCUCUUCUUCCUUUUUAGAAGCAUUCAUCUAUCAAAAACAACAAUGGCUAUCCGCCUGCCUCGUAUCAUUAGCUCUAAGAAAGUUCCCAAGGGCUGCUUUGCAGUUUACGUUGGAGAAAACCAGAAGAAGUUCGUGAUACCAGUGGUCAUUCUUGAACCAGCCUUUAUUUCAAGAUUUGCUUUGCAUGUCAGAACAAGAGUUCGGAUAUAGUCAUCCUACCGGCGGUAUCACAAUUCCCUGCAACGAAGAUAUCUUUCUCGUUGUCACCUCUCGAUUGAACUGAUUUGUGAGAGAUUUAACACAAAUCAACCCAUACAUUUUUGUAAAGCAAACAUCACUAACAUCAUGUAAACACUUUCUUUUCCCAUCCUUUUUUCCCUUGGGGAGCAGAUAAUAAGUCUCCCGAUGUGGAAAACUAGAGAUGGUGGCUUAUGUAACAAUUGGAAACACAUAAUUCAAUUGAAAUUUUAUUUCUUUUUAGAAUGUCCUAUGGUCCCCUUGUUAUUGUUGAUUUUAUAUACAAUUUAACUGUAAAAAAUUCACAUUGUUCACAAAUUAUUUCAACUUCCA